GGGGGCCCGCACAGGCGGCGGAGCAUGCGGAUUAAUUCGAUGCAACGCGAAGAACCUUACCAAGGCUUGACAUGGACCGGACCGGGCUGGAAACAGUCCUUCCCCUUUGGGGCCGGUUCACAGGUGGUGCAUGGUUGUCGUCAGCUCGUGUCGUGAGAUGUUGGGUUAAGUCCCGCAACGAGCGCAACCCUCGUUCCAUGUUGCCAGCGCGUAAUGGCGGGGACUCAUGGGAGACUGCCGGGGUCAACUCGGAGGAAGGUGGGGACGACGUCAAAUCAUCAUGCCCCUUAUGUCUUGGGCUUCACGCAUGCUACAAUGGCCGGUACAAAGGGUUGCGAUACUGUGAGGUGGAGCUAAUCCCAAAAAGCCGGUCUCAGUUCGGAUUGGGGUCUGCAACUCGACCCCAUGAAGUCGGAGUCGCUAGUAAUCGCAGAUCAGCAACGCUGCGGUGAAUACGUUCCCGGGCCUUGUACACACCGCCCGUCAAGUCACGAAAGUUGGUAACACCCGAAGCCGGUGGCCUAACCCCUUGUGGGAGGGAGCUGUCGAAGGUGGGACUGGCGAUUGGGACUAA
rnacentral:rRNA from 1 species